GCAGUCGUGGCUGAGUGGUUAGGCGAACACACCUGUAUUGUGAUACGUGGGUUCGAAUCCCACCGAUUGCC
rnacentral:tRNA from 1 species